rnacentral:rRNA from 1 species
AUUGAACGCUGGCGGCAUGCUUUACACAUGCAAGUCGAACGGUAACAGGGAGCUUGCUCCGCUGACGAGCGGCGAACGGGUGAGUAAUAUAUCGGAACGUACCCAAGAGUGGGGGAUAACGUAGCGAAAGUUACGCUAAUACCGCAUACGAUCUAUGGAUGAAAGCAGGGGACCUUCGGGCCUGGUGCUCCUGGAGCGGCCGAUAUCUGAUUAGCUAGUUGGUGAGGGAAAGGCUCACCAAGGCGACGAUCAGUAGCUGGUCUGAGAGGACGACCAGCCACACUGGAACUGAGACACGGUCCAGACUCCUACGGGAGGCAGCAGUGGGGAAUUUUGGACAAUGGGCGCAAGCCUGAUCCAGCAAUGCCGCGUGAGUGAAGAAGGCCUUCGGGUUGUAAAGCUCUUUUGUCAGGGAAGAAACGGCUGUGGCUAAUAUCCACGGCUAAUGACGGUACCUGAAGAAUAAGCACCGGCUAACUACGUGCCAGCAGCCGCGGUAA